rnacentral:rRNA from 1 species
UGCAAGUCGAGGGGAAACGACAGAGGAAGCUUGCUUCCUUUGGGCGUCGACCGGCGCACGGGUGAGUAACGCGUAUCCAACCUUCCCGCAAGUAAGGGAUAACCCGUAGAAAUGCGGCCUAAUACCUUAUGUUUUCCUUAGAGGGCAUCUGAUGAGGAACAAAGAUCCGUCGCUUGCGGAUGGGGAUGCGUCUGAUUAGUUAGUCGGCGGGGUAACGGCCCACCGAGACGACGAUCAGUAGGGGUUCUGAGAGGAAAGUCCCCCACAUUGGAACUGAGACACGGUCCAAACUCC